CCUACGGGUGGCAGCAGUGAGGAAUAUUGGUCAAUGGGCGCGAGCCUGAACCAGCCAAGCCGCGUGAAUGAUGACGGCCCUACGGGUUGUAAACUUCUUUUGUGAGGGAAUAAAACGUAGGACGCGUGCCCUUUUGCAUGUACUUUAUGAAUAAGAAUCGGCUAACUCCGUGCCAUCAGCCGCGGUAAUACGGAGGGUCCGAGCGUUAUCCGGAUUUAUUGGGUUUAAAGGGAGCGGAGGUGGGCUGUUAAGUCAGUUGUGAAAGUCCGGGGCUCAACCUGAGAAUUGCAAUUGAUACUGGCAGUCGUGAGUACGGUAGAGGUAGGCGGAAUUCGUGGUGUAGCGGUGAAAUGCUUAGAUAUCACGAAGAACCCCGAUUGCGAAGGCAGCCUACUGGACUAAGACUGACGCUGAGGUGCGAAAGCGUGGGUAUCAAACAGGAUUAGAUACCCUGGUAGUC
rnacentral:rRNA from 1 species